rnacentral:rRNA from 1 species
CGCGUAGGCGGAUGCUUAAGUUAGAGGUGAAAGCCCAGGGCUCAACCUUGGAACUGCCUUUGAUACUGGGCAUCUUGAGUACGGGAGAGGUGAGUGGAACUCCGAGUGUAGAGGUGAAAUUCGCAGAUAUUCGGAAGAACACCAGUGGCGAAGGCGACUCACUGGCCCGUUACUGACGCUGAGGCGCGAAAGCGUGGGGAGCAAACAGGAUUAGAUACCCUGGUAGUCCACGCUGUAAACGAUGAGUGCUAGUUGUCGGCAUGCAUGCAUGUCGGUGACGCAGCUAACGCAUUAAGCACUCCGCCUGGGGAGUACGGUCGCAAGAUUAAA